GGAAUGAGUUCUCUUCUUAAGUCUGCUAUUUGCUGGAUAGAAAUCUUUAUCUUUCAAGGCAGAGUUUGAACAGUACCAGCCCACUAAAUUUCACUGAGUCUGCUGAAACUCCAAGCAGCAAUAUUUCUUUCACAAACCAAACUAUUAUUUAAAUGCACUAUGAGAUUUCCUGUGAAAAAAUAUCUGACAAAUUCUUUUUGGAAUUCAAUUUUUGUUCUUUCCAUGUGAGCGCUGUACAUAGGUUCCUCCAAAAGUAAUGCCUCCUCUUUUUUUCCAUGCAAAAUACAACAGAUACAGAGAGCACAAUAACACUAUUUGACAGAGCAAAUUCUCAGCUACAAAACACUAUUUUUCAGCACAGUCAUCACCAUUAGCUCUGCAUUUUUGCCAGCAAUGAACAAGAGCCUGCAUGUGUGCUCAUAAGAAUCUGCACCAGUGGAGGUGACCCACUGUUGUUGCUGCCACCAGUGAAACACACCACCCACUGCCUCACUGUCCUCACAUCCACUCUGGUCUCCAUAAGCAUUCAGCAAGCAUCAGUGAAUGUCAGUGGGUGCCAUUUUUCCCACAUGUAGAAAUCUAAUUCCACACCUUUACUUCAUAUGCACUUCUACAGAAGACACCAUUGUGUCAGACUGCCCCUCCGCUGCCAUCUGUCACACAACAACAACAUGUAACAGAAUAGUGGCAGGAAGAUUCGGCCCCUACUGCCAUACCACCAAUAUCUGUCUUUGAUGUUGUGGGCCAAUAUAGAAAAAUAGGAGGCAUUACUUUCAGAGCAGCCCUUGUACAAUUUACUCUUCCAAAAACAAAGCCCUAGGUGCUCUGCUGUCAUCUUUCUAAAAUCAGAAAAAAAUGAUAAUGUUGGAAGGGCACAAAAUAACGUUUCAAUAUUCUAAAUUCUUAGUUAACGAAAUAGAUGCUCCUUACUCAUUGAAGGAUCAGGGGUUGGUUUGUUGUAUAUGUAUAUACACCAUCUAUUCAGAGAGUUUGACAGACUUUACAGGAAGAAUGUACAAUGAAGAACUUAUGCACAACACAAAAUUGCAGGGCCUCAGAGGAAGCCAACUGAACAGAGAGAACAGAGAACAAUGAACGCACCAAAGUGUGGUGAGGACUCCUGGGAGCUUUUGUUAGAAGAGAGGGUUGUAAUACAGCCUCUUUCCCACACAGAACAGUAGAGCACAUAGCUUUGCACCUCCUGCACAUCACAGUAAGUCUCAUCUUUGGUCAUUUUCUGCAAACUUAUUUUCUACAAACUGUGUAAGAAAGGCUCCCAAAUCAAAUCCAUGCUGAAGGCUCAGAAGCAAGAUUCAGUUGUAUAUAGAGCAGAAAUCAGGGUUAAUAUCAUUGGAGCACAUGCCACC
rnacentral:lncRNA from 1 species